rnacentral:tRNA from 1 species
GAGGGUAUAGCUCAAGGGGUAGAGCGCAUGCUCAGCAUGCCGAAGACCCUGAGUUCAAUUCUCAGCACCUCA